rnacentral:rRNA from 1 species
UACGGGGGGAGCAAGCGUUGUUCGGAUUUACUGGGCGUAAAGGGCGCGUAGGCGGCCAGCACAAGUCAGUUGUGAAAUCUCCGAGCUUAACUCGGAAAGGUCAACUGAUACUGUGCGGCUAGAGUGCAGAAGGGGCAACUGGAAUUCUCGGUGUAGCGGUGAAAUGCGUAGAUAUCGAGAGGAACACCUGCGGCGAAGGCGGGUUGCUGGGCUGACACUGACGCUGAUAGCGCGAAAGCCAGGGGAGCAAACGGG